UUCUCCCUGAGACUUUAGGUCUCCUGAAGGAACGUUGAAGACGACGACGUUGAUAGGCCGGGUGUGUAAGCGCAGCGAUGCGUUGAGCUAACCGGUACUAAUGAACCGUGAGGCUUAACCUUACAACGCCGAAG
rnacentral:rRNA from 3 species